UAAUGUAUGGGGAUCUGCCCGAUAGAGGGGGAUAACUACUGGAAACGGUGGCUAAUACCGCAUAAUGCUACGGACCAAAGCAGGGGCUCUUCGGACCUUGCACUAUCGGAUGAACCCAUAUGGGAUUAGCUAGUAGGUGGGGUAAAGGCUCACCUAGGCGCGAUCUCUAGCUGGUCUGAGAGGAUGAUCAGCCACACUGGGACUGAGACACGGCCCAG
rnacentral:rRNA from 1 species